UACGUAGGUCCCGAGCGUUGUCCGGAUUUAUUGGGCGUAAAGCGAGCGCAGGCGGUUUGAUAAGUCUGAUGUAAAAGGCAGUGGCUCAACCAUUGUGUGCAUUGGAAACUGUUAGACUUGAGUGCAGUAGAGGAGAGUGGAAUUCCAUGUGUAGCGGUGAAAUGCGUAGAUAUAUGGAGGAACACCGGUGGCGAAAGCGGCUCUCUGGACUGUAACUGACACUGAGGCUCGAAAGCGUGGGUAGCAAACAGG
rnacentral:rRNA from 1 species